rnacentral:misc_RNA from 1 species
AAGUCGUAACAAGGUUUCCGUAGGUGAACCUGCGGAAGGAUCAUUAACAAUGUUUUGCAUAUCCAAAAUCUAGGUCUGUGCCAUUCACUACCAACCUCUCGGAUGGUAUUGCUUGAACGUCCUAGUACACACACUGGAAAUGGAGGCUUUGAGCCGCCGUUUCAUUUAACAAGAACCUGGGGUACUUUAAGGUAGAGGGUAAAAAACCUUUUACUUUAGAGCCCUCUAAUAAUCCCCCCCUCUCUUUAUUUUACCAUAUUUUACCCUUAAGACUAUAAGACUGAUAUGACAUGGUUUAGUGUCUAACAUUAAAUCUUAUGAAACAACUCUUAACAAUGGAUAUCUCGGUUCUG